CCUUUGAUGACGACUGGCGCACGGGUGAGUAACGCGUAUCCAACCUUCCCAUAACUACGGGAUAACCCGUUGAAAGACGGCCUAAUACCGUAUGAUAUCGUUUGCUGACAUCAAAUAACGAUUAAAGGUUUAGCGGUUAUGGAUGGGGAUGCGUCUGAUUAGCUUGUUGGCGGGGUAACGGCCCACCAAGGCUACGAUCAGUAGGGGUUCUGAGAGGAAGGUCCCCCACAUUGGAACUGAGACACGGUCCAAACUCCUACGGGAGGCAGCAGCC
rnacentral:rRNA from 1 species